AUAGGAUAGACCUCCCCUCUUCCCAGAAACCCGUGUCUCUGCCCCUCAACCAGAAUCAAGAAGUGAAAAGCCAACUGACUGCAGAGAAUAUCCAGGUUGUGCACCUGGAUAACAUGAAGGAGGAAGAGGCAGAGGUCCAGAAGACAUCGUCCCAGCCUCCCUAUUAUGACAUGGCAGCUACUGAGUCUACUCCCAACCCUGACAAGUUGACCACGGGCAACAACAAGGAUGCCAACAUCCAAUACGCAGAGCUGGACACGUCCGUUUUGACCACAUCAUCAUCACCGAGUCACAAAGCCUCCAUUCCUGCUGGUGGGGAUCUGGUUGAGUAUGCAACCAUCCAGGCGAACGUAUCUUAGCGCACCACACUGUCAGCCUUUCUCCCUUCGGAUGCUGUCCUCAAGAACAACAAGUGUCACUUAGAGAUACCAGACGCAGGUGAUGAUCUAACCAACACAACCAGCGCCUGCCAAAAAGAAUCCUCUGUCUUUAGUCCCUUGUCUUACUUCCAAGAAGAUGUCUACUUGUCCAAUGCUUCCCCCCGACCCACAUCCUUAUGCCAUCCAACGCCAGGUCCAGGAUGCCCCCAAAAGCCCUACGUGUGAACCAACACAACCAAGCAAAAGAGAAGAAAGGGGGGGGGGAACCUUUCCAUGUCUUCAACAUCCAUGCGUCCACCACAACCUGGGUCCCUUCCCUAACCCUCCACACCCAGUAGGAACUUAUCAAGUGUGUCUGUGUGUCUGUUGAGUAUGAGUGGACAUCGUGACUGCCACCUUCCUUUCUCUCUCUUAUUUGUCUCUCUCUUAUUUUUCUCUCCCCUCCCCGUUUUUUGUUGUUGUUGAAAAGUAUUGGUGCGUUGGUAUUUUUCAUCAUUAGAUUAAGGCUGCGAUCCUGAAGGAGGGCGCGAACCACUUGAAAUUCCCCAAGGGGAAUACUUGCAAGUGCAGGAUUUGGGGGCCACUCAGCAUGUCACUGCCUUCUUUGCAAUCUUUUUUUUUACGAAUCCAUCCUUAAUUUUCAUCCCCUUUUUAAUCCCUUUCUUUUGAAUAAUUGACCCCCC